GUGGUAUAUCCUUAACUGUGCACAGGAUUGGAAUUGAAUUAUGUUCUGGCCACUAUGGCCCCUAGAUACUUUCUAGAUAGACUUUAAUAUUAUUCACUCGUUUUCGCGGUAUUUUUCCGUAAUCGCAUCUCAUUAAUAGCGAGCCAGGGGGUAUUUUUACCGGUUUUUUCUCUGGCUCGGUUCUCACGCCUGAGUGAGCAUUCUUUUUUUACAAAAAGCGAAUAAAAGCAUCGUUUAAACUUAUUCGUCUGUUAUACUACUGUUGAAGGGGACAAGGCCUUUCCCGAAGGAACAGAAUAGUAAAAAAAGAGUCACUUUUCUGGCGUGUAUACAUCGAGAAAGACGAACUGACUUCGAAGAUAUCUUUGUAGCGUGCUCGAAAAUCGCUACAAAACGGC